rnacentral:rRNA from 1 species
UUAAGCGACUAAGCGUACACGGUGGAUGCCCUGGCAGUCAGAGGCGAUGAAGGACGUGCUAAUCUGCGAUAAGCGUCGGUAAGGUGAUAUGAACCGUUAUAACCGGCGAUUUCCGAAUGGGGAAACCCAGUGUGAUUCGUCACACUAUCAUUAACUGAAUCCAUAGGUUAAUGAGGCGAACCGGGGGAACUGAAACAUCUAAGUACCCCGAGGAAAAGAAAUCAACCGAGAUUCCCCCAGUAGCGGCGAGCGAACGGGGAGSAGCCCAGAGCCUGAAUCAGUGUGUGUGUUAGUGGAAGCGUCUGGAAAGGCGCGCGAUACAGGGUGACAGCCCCGUACACAAAAAUGCACAUGCUGUGAGCUCGAUGAGUAGGGCGGGACACGUGGUAUCCUGUCUGAAUAUGGGGGGACCAUCCUCCAAGGCUAAAUACUCCUGACUGACCGAUAGUGAACCAGUACCGUGAGGGAAAGGCGAAAAGAACCCCGGCGAGGGGAGUGAAAAAGAACCUGAAACCGUGUACGUACAAGCAGUGGGAGCACAGAGCAAUCUGUGUGACUGCGUACCUUUUGUAUAAUGGGUCAGCGACUUAUAUUCUGUAGCAAGGUUAACCGAAUAGGGGAGCCGAAGGGAAACCGAGUCUUAACUGGGCGUUAAGUUGCAGGGUAUAGACCCGAAACCCGGUGAUCUAGCCAUGGGCAGGUUGAAGGUUGGGUAACACUAACUGGAGGACCGAACCGACUAAUGUUGAAAAAUUAGCGGAUGACUUGUGGCUGGGGGUGAAAGGCCAAUCAAACCGGGAGAUAGCUGGUUCUCCCCGAAAGCUAUUUAGGUAGCGCCUCGUGAAUUCAUCUCCGGGGGUAGAGCACUGUUUCGGCAAGGGGGUCAUCCCGACUUACCAACCCGAUGCAAACURCGAAUACCGGAGAAUGUUAUCACGGGAGACACACGGCGGGUGCUAACGUCCGUCGUGAAGAGGGAAACAACCCAGACCGCCAGCUAAGGUCCCAAAGUCAUGGUUAAGUGGGAAACGAUGUGGGAAGGCCCAGACAGCCAGGAUGUUGGCUUAGAAGCAGCCAUCAUUUAAAGAAAGCGUAAUAGCUCACUGGUCGAGUCGGCCUGCGCGGAAGAUGUAACGGGGCUAAACCAUGCACCGAAGCUGCGGCAGCGACGCUUAUGCGUUGUUGGGUAGGGGAGCGUUCUGUAAGCCUGYGAAGGUGURCUGUGAGGYAYGCUGGAGGUAUCAGAAGUGCGAAUGCUGACAUAAGUAACGAUAAAGCGGGUGAAAAGCCCGCUCGCCGGAAGACCAAGGGUUCCUGUCCAACGUUAAUCGGGGCAGGGUGAGUCGACCCCUAAGGCGAGGCCGAAAGGCGUAGUCGAUGGGAAACAGGUUAAUAUUCCUGUACUUGGUGUUACUGCGAAGGGGGGACGGAGAAGGCUAUGUUGGCCGGGCGACGGUUGUCCCGGUUUAAGCGUGUAGGCUGGUUUUCCAGGCAAAUCCGGAAAAUCAAGGCUGAGGCGUGAUGACGAGGCACUACGGUGCUGAAGCAACAAAUGCCCUGCUUCCAGGAAAAGCCUCUAAGCAUCAGGUAACAUCAAAUCGUACCCCAAACCGACACAGGUGGUCAGGUAGAGAAUACCAAGGCGCUUGAGAGAACUCGGGUGAAGGAACUAGGCAAAAUGGUGCCGUAACUUCGGGAGAAGGCACGCUGAUAUGUAGGUGAAGUCCCUCGCGGAUGGAGCUGAAAUCAGUCGAAGAUACCAGCUGGCUGCAACUGUUUAUUAAAAACACAGCACUGUGCAAACACGAAAGUGGACGUAUACGGUGUGACGCCUGCCCGGUGCCGGAAGGUUAAUUGAUGGGGUYAGCGCAAGCGAAGCUCUUGAUCGAAGCCCCGGUAAACGGCGGCCGUAACUAUAACGGUCCUAAGGUAGCGAAAUUCCUUGUCGGGUAAGUUCCGACCUGCACGAAUGGCGUAAUGAUGGCCAGGCUGUCUCCACCCGAGACUCAGUGAAAUUGAACUCGCUGUGAAGAUGCAGUGUACCCGCGGCAAGACGGAAAGACCCCGUGAACCUUUACUAUAGCUUGACACUGAACAUUGAGCCUUGAUGUGUAGGAUAGGUGGGAGGCUUWGAAGUGUGGACGCCAGUCUGCAUGGAGCCGACCUUGAAAUACCACCCUUUAAUGUUUGAUGUUCUAACGUUGACCCGURAUCCGGGUUGCGGACAGUGUCUGGUGGGUAGUUUGACUGGGGCGGUCUCCUCCUAAAGAGUAACGGAGGAGCACGAAGGUUGGCUAAUCCUGGUCGGACAUCAGGAGGUUAGUGCAAUGGCAUAAGCCAGCUUGACUGCGAGCGUGACGGCGCGAGCAGGUGCGAAAGCAGGUCAUAGUGAUCCGGUGGUUCUGAAUGGAAGGGCCAUCGCUCAACGGAUAAAAGGUACUCCGGGGAUAACAGGCUGAUACCGCCCAAGAGUUCAUAUCGACGGCGGUGUUUGGCACCUCGAUGUCGGCUCAUCACAUCCUGGGGCUGAAGUAGGUCCCAAGGGUAUGGCUGUUCGCCAUUUAAAGUGGUACGCGAGCUGGGUUUAGAACGUCGUGAGACAGUUCGGUCCCUAUCUGCCGUGGGCGCUGGAGAACUGAGGGGGGCUGCUCCUAGUACGAGAGGACCGGAGUGGACGCAUCACUGGUGUUCGGGUUGUCAUGCCAAUGGCACUGCCCGGUAGCUAAAUGCGGAAGAGAUAAGUGCUGAAAGCAUCUAAGCACGAAACUUGCCCCGAGAUGAGUUCUCCCUGACUCCUUGAGAGUCCUGAAGGAACGUUGAAGACGACGACGUUGAUAGGCCGGGUGUGUAAGCGCAGCGAUGCGUUGAGCUAACCGGUACUAAUGAACCGUGAGGCUUAACCUU